rnacentral:siRNA from 1 species
GAUCGAUCGGAGAACACCAAUA